rnacentral:misc_RNA from 1 species
UUGAAUAACUUGGUGUUGAGCUGGCCCCAGUCCGGGCAUGUGCUUGCAUCAUAUUAUUUAUCUAUCUCUUGUGCACCUUUUGUAGUCUUUGAAGUGUUCGCAGUCAAUGCGGUUUUGGGUCUUGGGCUUCGCUGCCCUUUUCCCUGUUUGCUUCAAAGGCUAUGUUUUAUACACACUAUUAGAAGUCACAGAAUGUCUCUUAUUGACUUUUGAGUCAGUAAAUCUAUA